rnacentral:tRNA from 1 species
GGCGUCAUGGUCUAGAGGUAUGAUUCUUGCUUUGGGACAUCUCAAAAUUGCAAGAGGUCCCGGGUUCAAUCCCCGGUGACGCCC